rnacentral:rRNA from 1 species
CUACGGGACGCAGCAGUAAGGAAUAUUGGUCAAUGGGCGCAAGCCUGAACCAGCCAUGCCGCGUGCAGGAAGACGGCCCUAUGGGUUGUAAACUGCUUUUGUCAGGGAAUAAACCUGUCUACGAGUAGACAGCUGAAGGUACCUGAAGAAUAAGCAUCGGCUAACUCCGUGCCAGCAGCCGCGGUAAUACGGAGGAUGCAAGCGUUAUCCGGAUUCAUUGGGUUUAAAGGGUGCGCAGGCGGAUUGGUAAGUCAGGGGUGAAAUCCCACAGCUCAACUGUGGAACUGCCUUUGAUACUGUCAGUCUAGAGUAUAGUUGAAGUGGGAGGAAUGUGUCAUGUAGCGGUGAAAUGCUUAGAUAUGACACAGAACACCGAUCGCGAAGGCAGCUCGCUAAGCUAUAACUGACGCUCAUGCACGAAAGCGUGGGGAUCAAACAGGAUUAGAUACCCGCGUAGUC